rnacentral:rRNA from 1 species
AGUGAACGCUGGCGGUAGGCCUAACACAUGCAAGUCGAACGGCAGCACAGUAAGAGCUUGCUCUUACGGGUGGCGAGUGGCGGACGGGUGAGGAAUACAUCGGAAUCUACUUUUUCGUGGAGGAUAACGUAGGGAAACUUACGCUAAUACCGCAUACGACCUACGGGUGAAAGCAGGGGAUCUUCGGACCUUGCGCGAUUGAAUGAGCCGAUGUCGGAUUAGCUAGUUGGCGGGGUAAAGGCCCACCAAGUCGACGAUCCGUAGCUGGUCUGAGAGGAUGAUCAGCCACACUGGAACUGAGACACGGUCCAGACUCCUACGGGAGGCAGCAGUGGGGAAUAUUGGACAAUGGGCGCAAGCCUGAUCCAGCCAUACCGCGUGGGUGAAGAAGGCCUUCGGGUUGUAAAGCCCUUUUGUUGGGAAAGAAAAGCAGCAGGUUAAUACCCCGCUGUUCUGACGGUACCCAAAGAAUAAGCACCGGCUAACUUCGUG